rnacentral:other from 1 species
UAUCUUCUGCGGUGUUCGUGAUUUGACUGGUGUUACUUGAGCCGAUACUACAUGAACCAGGGAACUAACCGCGAUGUUGUUGUGCAUACCCCCGCUAAGGUGGGCAGCCUGAUAUAUCGCUCGCUGUUCCCACUUGAUCCUACGGUUCAAGUUAGAUUGUCAAUUGAACGGCAUUGCGGUUGAUAC